AGCAUCCACUAGGGGAGCCUUUGGAAAGGCUGAGAUUAAAGUGUUGACUUUAAGACCCUUUGAACCUGAUCUGGAUGAUGCCAGCGUAGGGAAGUGGGAAUUUGAAACA
rnacentral:ncRNA from 1 species